rnacentral:rRNA from 1 species
UACGGAGGGUGCGAGCGUUGUCCGGAAUCAUUGGGCGUAAAGAGCGCGCAGGCGGUCGUUCAAGUCGCGUGUGAAAGCCCCCGGCUCAACUGGGGAGGGUCACGCGAUACUGAUCGACUCGAAGGCAGGAGAGGGUAGUGGAAUUCCUGGUGUAGCGGUGAAAUGCGCAGAUAUCAGGAAGAACACCCGUGGCUAAGGCGGCUCUCUAGUACGGUACUGACGCUGAGACGCGAAAGCGUGGGGAGCAAACAGG